UACGUAGGGUGCAAGCGUUGUCCGGAAUUAUUGGGCGUAAAGAGCUCGUAGGCGGUCUGUCGCGUCGGCUGUGAAAACCCGGAGCUCAACUCCGGGCCUGCAGUCGAUACGGGCAUCACUGGAGUUCGGCAGGGGAGACUGGAAUUCCUGGUGAUAGCGGUGAAUGCGCAGAUAGUCAGGAGGAACACCAAUUGCGAAGGCAGCCUCGCUGGGACGUAACUGGACGCU
rnacentral:rRNA from 1 species